AAUUCGAAGCAACGACGAAGAACCUUACCAGGUCUUGACAUCCCGAUGCUAUUUCUAGAGAUAGAAAGUUACUUCGGUACAUCGGUGACAGGUGGUGCAUGGUUGUCGUCAGCUCGUGUCGUGAGAUGUUGGGUUAAGUCCCGCAACGAGCGCAACCCCUAUUGUUAGUUGCCAUCAUUCAGUUGGGCACUCUAGCGAGACUGCCGGUAAUAAACCGGAGGAAGGUGGGGAUGACGUCAAAUCAUCAUGCCCCUUAUGACCUGGGCUACACACGUGCUACAAUGGUUGGUACAAAGGGCUGCGAACCCGCGAGGGGGAGCGAAUCCCAAAAAGCCGCUCUCAGUUCGGAUUGCAGGCUGCAACUCGCCUGCAUGAAGCCGGAAUCGCUAGUAAUCGCGGAUCAGCAUGCCCGCGGUCGAAUACGUUCCCGGGCCUU
rnacentral:rRNA from 1 species